rnacentral:rRNA from 1 species
CCUACGGGAGGCAGCAGUAGGGAAUAUUGCUCAAUGGGGGAAACCCUGAAGCAGCAACGCCGCGUGGAGGAUGAAGGUUUUCGGAUUGUAAACUCCUUUUGUUAGAGAAGAAAAUGACGGUAUCUAACGAAUAAGCACCGGCUAACUCCGUGCCAGCAGCCGCGGUAAUACGGAGGGUGCAAGCGUUACUCGGAAUCACUGGGCGUAAAGAGCGCGUAGGCGGGAUAGCAAGUCAGAUGUGAAAUCCUAUGGCUUAACCAUAGAACUGCAUUUGAAACUGUUAGUCUAGAGUAUGGGAGAGGUAGGUGGAAUUCGUGGUGUAGGGGUUAAAUGCGUAGAGAUCGAGAGGAAUACUCAUUGCGAAGGCGACCUGCUAGAACAUAACUGACGCUGAUGCGCGAAAGCGUGGGGAGCAAACAGGAUUAGAUACCCGAGUAGUC